ACAUACGACCAUACCCACUGGAGAACUCGGGAUCCCGUCCGCUCUCCCAUAGAUAAACCGGUGAGGGCCGGAUUAGUAGUUGGGUCGGUGACGACCAGCGAAUACCUGGUGUUGUAUGUU
rfam:Colletotrichum orbiculare MAFF 240422 contig01482, whole genome shotgun sequence.